AUGGCUCUGCAGAAACUCUUCUAUAUCUCAAUUUUCCUGCUAGUAUGCACAGCCACGGAAAUCAACCCAGAAGCAGAGGCACUACUCCGAUGGAAGUCCAGUUUGAUCCGAGCCGACUCGCUGUCCUCCUGGUCGGUUGCCAACUCUACAUGUUCUUGGUACGGUGUCACCUGUGACACUGCCGGACAUGUUACUGAGGUCCAACUUCGUAGUGCGGGGAUCAAUGGUACGCUACACGCCUUCUACUCUCCAGUGCUUCAAAACCUCACAGUGCUUGACCUUGGGGCAAAUAACCUUGGUGGUGUUAUCCCAGCAAAUAUAUCUUUGUUUCUAACCCUCACCGUUAUGAACUUGAGCAGCAACAAUCUUGUUGGUGUCAUCCCCUACCAACUCAGCAAGCUACCAAUAAUUAUCAAAUUAGAUUUGGGAAAUAACAAGCUUACCAACCCAGAAUAUGCCAAUUUCUCACCUAUGUCCACUUUAAAGCUGUUAUCUCUAGCUAAUAACAAUCUCAGUGGUACCUUCCCACAAUUCAUCCUCAACUGCACCCAUGUGAGGAUGAGGUUCCUCGAUUUAUCAGGUAACGCCUUCACAGGGCCGUUACCAGAUUCACUGCCGGAGAUUGUACCAAGGUUGAGGUAUCUAAAUCUGUCCAUUAAUUUAUUCUCUGGCUCCAUACCUUGCUCACUCUCAAGGCUCCAAAAGCUAGAGAUACUAACACUC
rnacentral:rRNA from 1 species